UUCGUGACUGACUUGUAUAAACUGUCAACCGAUCAACAAUCUAUCACUUGAAUUUGAACAAAGAGACGUUAUGAAACAUGUUGCCUUGCCUACCCACCACCCCCAACUCACACACACACACACGCCCAGCCCUCCCACCUCUCUAAAUCGCCCAUUAUGAUAUAAUCCGCAGCGCUGCGCAGUGAUCUGAAAAGAGCUCUAAUCUCCAACACUCUCAGUCCGCCGGCCGGUCAGAAACUCACCGGGAAGUAGAGGAGCAUGGAGCCGAACAGGAUCGUCUCCAGCAGCAGGAGGCCCGACGCUCGGAUCCUCUGAGCCAGGAGAGGAUGGGGAGGCGGGAGGAGCAGACAGAGGAAGACAGGUGUGAGGAAACAGCACAAUCAGCAGGGUGCACUAUGGAAAAACUGCCCAGGGUUAGCUGAAAUGAGGACCAUUUAGACUGACAACACCGUGGAAUAAGCAGACCUUCUUCAGACUGGGGUCUCCAUCAGCAGGUCGACUGGGACUGACUGGGACGUCCAGCUUUCAGCCUGAGCACAGUGGGCCCCAGGGCCUCCUCCCACGCUGCACCCAAACUGCAUCACAACUUUCAAAACUGCUCUUAAAACCCAAAACUAGCUCUCUCACUUUAACUGCAUCAACUGCAUCUUAUCCUAAAGGAAUACUCCAGCAUUUUGGGCAGAAUUUCCUUUUACUGACUCACCCAGACUGAGACCAGAUGUUGGACAACAUUUUCUCCUCUGUACGUCCAGCGGUUCAGU